rnacentral:misc_RNA from 1 species
GAUGAAGAACGUAGCGAAAUGCCAUACUUGGUGUGAAUUGCAGAAUCCCGUGAACCAUCGAGUCUUUGAACGCAAGUUGCGCCCGAAGCCAUUAGGCCGAGGGCACGCCUGCCUGGGCGUCACACGUCGUUGCCCCCCCAUCUACUCCUUCGGGAUUGCGGGGGGCGGAUGAUGGCCUCCCGUGCGCCUCGCCGCGCGGUUGGCAUAAAUGCCAAGUCCUCGGCGACGCACGCCACGACAAUCGGUGGUUGCGAAACCUCGGUUGCCCGUCGUGUGCGGUCGUCGCGCAUCGAGGGCUCGAAAAAAUUGCCGGGUUCCGGCUCGGCUUUCAACGCGACCCCAGGUCAGGCGGGGUUACCCGCUGAAUUUAAGCAUAUCAAUAAGCGGAGGA